rnacentral:rRNA from 1 species
GACGAACGCUGGCGGCGUGCCUAAUACAUGCAAGUCGAACGCUUCUUUCCUCCCGAGUGCUUGCACUCAAUUGGAAAGAGGAGUGGCGGACGGGUGAGUAACACGUGGGUAACCUACCCAUCAGAGGGGGAUAACACUUGGAAACAGGUGCUAAUACCGCAUAACAGUUUAUGCCGCAUGGCAUAAGAGUGAAAGGCGCUUUCGGGGGUCGCUGAUGGAUGGACCCGCGGUGCAUUAGCUAGUUGGUGAGGUAACGGCUCACCAAGGCCACGAUGCAUAGCCGACCUGAGAGGGUGAUCGGCCACACUGGGACUGAGACACGGCCCAGACUCCUAUGGGAGGCAGCAGUAGGGAAUCUUCGGCAAUGGACGAAAGUCUGACCGAGCAACGCCGCGUGAGUGAAGAAGGUUUUCGGAUCGUAAAACUCUGUUGUUAGAGAAGAACAAGGACGUUAGUAACUGAACGUCCCCUGACGGUAUCUAACCAGAAAGCCACGGCUAACUACGUG